AACGAACGCUGGCGGCAUGCCUAACACAUGCAAGUCGAACGAGACCUUCGGGCCUAGUGGCGCACGGGUGCGUAACGCGGGGGAACCUGCCCUUAGGUUCGGAAUAACUCCCCGAAAGGGGUGCUAAUACCGGAUAAUGUCUUCGGACCAAAGAUUUAUCGCCUUUGGAUGGGCCCGCGUUGGAUUAGCUAGUUGGUAGGGUAAAAGCCUACCAAGGCGACGAUCCAUAGCUGGUCUGAGAGGAUGAUCAGCCACACUGGGACUGAGACACGGCCCAGACUCCUACGGGAGGCAGCAGUGGGGAAUAUUGGACAAGGGGCGAAAGUCUGAUCCAGCAAUGCCGCGUGAGUGAUGAAGGCCUUAGGGUUGUAAAGCUCUUUUACCCGGGAUGAUAAUGACAGUACCGGGAGAAUAAGCACCGGCUAACUCCGUG
rnacentral:rRNA from 1 species